CUGCAAUCUAGUGUGAGGAUGAGAUGGUAUUUUAAUAGGGCUGCAUUUAUCAACUGUAACAAGGGAGGGAAUGUGCUCCAACCCAGCGCGCCUUGUGGGCAAUGCAAGCAAGAGUCAGCGACUGCGACCGCCGGAGGAGUGCGGCGAUGGGAGGAAGGCAGACGGACAGACAGCCUGCUGGGAACGAGGGCGCUCUGCAGGUGAUCUCGCAGGGGAGGGUGCGGCACCCACUGCCCAUCUUAGCGGGAUCCCAUCCCCUCGCUCCACCAUCCUCAAUGCUCCUGGAAACCUGAAUUUCUGACUUGACUUGCGAUGGGAUUUGCAUGUCUAGCCAGUGACACUACUAUUUUCAGAAGUAAUUACAUUUUUAAUUACGCUUUUUAAUAGCUGGUAGCUGCUGCUUUGCAGUUUUGUUCCUGUCCCUCUUGGACGCACCUUGGAGCAACACCAGGAGCCUCCACUUCCCUUCCAGUGAGAUGUGAGAGUGUGAACACACAGCGAGAAAGGGGAGAACGCGUGUGUCAAUGCGUGCAACUGAUCUCGCAGCCACAUAUCGCAGCUGGAGACUGAAACCAGAGCUGGGCAGUGCAUCUCAGAGCCACGGGAACAGCCCCUCAGCAUUUCCCAACACAAGUCUGGAGAAAGAAUGAGGAAGACAGAAGGGCCCAGAUCUGCAGCGUGCAGACAGAGCUGGUCCUAGGAAAAGCACACCAGCUUUCCUCUAAAUCAGGCGUUUGGGCUGAGCGCAUGUGAUUGUAGGAGAAAGGGAAAGUGAUCAUAUAAAAGCAGCCACAGGAGAGGUGAAAUAAACUCUUCAAAGAGGGCUCGUGCUGGUGCAGAUUCUGCAUUGAAAAUCCAGAGUCAGAGAAUUCUCUGUGACGUUGGGCAAGGCGCUGCAUCUCUUACCAGCUCAGACUGCCAGUUGGUCACCGAGACACACCAACCUCCACACUGCUCCUGUCCAUGGAAACAGACAGAGGUGUGGAAGAAUGAGGGCAUGUCUUUUCUAGAGAUCCAAAAGAAGGAGAGCUCUAAAUACAACAGAAAGGAAUUAGAGGCAGCUCAUUUUGAUCCAGGCAGAUCCUUCAACCUUUUGAAAUUUAAAGGAUCCCUGACUUUCCUGAAGCAGUCUCAAGACUCCCAUGCACCCAUGUGCAGAGAAAAUAAAAGUCCCUCUGCGCCGCCUGCUCAUUAAUUUGCUUUUCUUUUCUCAUCAUUUGUUUGCUAGCUUGUCUGCUUGGGAAGAUGGCGUGGGUUUCUAUGAUUUUCCAGUCAUUGCCUAACCCACCUGUUGUAGGGCCCAGCAGCGCUUAAUGGCACUGAACACCACGGAGCUGCAAUGCCCAUAAGCAUGUCUGUUCCCAGUCCCUUUGGAGUCACUCCCUCACAGACACCCUUUCAUCAGCAGAUUUCAGGUGUGCAGCAAACCCUGGGCGCAUGGAGCACAGCAUACUGGAGCACUGCUGGCUGCACACCCCAGCACGCACCGGUGCGUGUCCCUGUCCAGCCAGCUACAAACAGCAGCACAGAGUGGCUGUGAUUUGGCAUCUCAUUACCACAAUGUCUUCGGCAGUUCAGGAAGGCAAACGUAUAGUUCAUUUUCUGCAGUGAAGGUUCAAGAAUAAACUGAGGAGACGUGGCUGUUCCUUUGGAGUUUGAAAACCCCUUAUAUCAAAUACGUGUGGGUUUCUCAGUCAAGAACCCAGGCUGUCCCCAGGUGACACCCCUCGAAGAGUUAAUUCCUGAGAAGCAGCAGCUUUGGAAAGGUACGAGGAGGAAUGUCUUGUCCUCGGGAUGGGAGCAGCCAAUGGAGCCGGGUGCCGGUGAUGUAAUGCAGCAAACCUGGUGCAUCAUUGGCCCCGAAGAUAUUAGACUUGAUAUGAUUUUGGAGAGUUGGGUGAGAGGAGUUUUUGCAAGAAGAGCCUGUAAAUUUCCCUGCACCAAGGACACCUCACUGAAAUCCUCCAGUGCUCCUCAGCUGGGCAUGUCUGGCCAGGAGAAGUUUGCUCUGAUGAUAAUAAUUCUGCCUUGUGUCUUCUCGGUACUGUUUAGCUAUUCUGCACUCUGCUAUCUGGGAGGCAUUUCUCUGAAGUCAGCCUGUGCUGGAAUUACUUCUUCAGCCUGCCCAUGAAAUUGAAAUUAAUUUUCAAUAAGAAGCAGUUGUUUUUUCUCUGACUCACCUCUGAACUCUUAAUUGUUUCAGGCACCAACUUCCAUUCCCCCAGCUUCUAUUACCUUCCUAGGUUUUCAUCUGCCCAGUCUUAUUUCUUUAGCUGAUUACUUCAUGAGGAGAUGGCUGAUGAUGUCAUAAAUGAACCUCUCCAGUCUGGGCUUGCUCUGGAUGGAGCUGCUCACAGCCCCGCGGUGGCAGCCCAGGAGCACAGAACCUCUCGCUCUGAGCUCUGGGGAUGCAGUGUUUACAUGAGGCAGCAGCCCUCACUGCCACUGCUGCCCUGAGCAGUUCACCCCACCUGCAGCCACAUUCAGUCCCAGGAUCCUCUGACAUUCGCAUCCCUUUC
ensembl:lncRNA